UACGUAGGGGCCAAGCGUUGUUCGGAUUUACUGGGCGUAAAGGGCGCGUAGGCGGCCUAGCAAGUCACUUGUGAAAUCUCCGGGCUUAACUCGGAACUGCCAAGUGAAACUGCUGGGCUAGAGUGCAGAAGGGGCAAUCGGAAUUCUUGGUGUAGCGGUGAAAUGCGUAGAUAUCAAGAGGAACACCUGAGGUGAAGACGGGUUGCUGGGCUGACACUGACGCUGAGGCGCGAAAGCCAGGGGAGCAAACGGG
rnacentral:rRNA from 1 species